AAUUGGGAUGGACUCAUAAGAAUGGUAGUCCCAAUUAAUGGGUUAAACCUCGAGAGAGUAAUAACCCAAUUUGAACCAUAUGUUGCUUGGGCAAAUUGGCCUACCCAAUUGGUCUCGAUAGAAUCAAUUGGGCAAAAUCACUUUCUCUACCGAGAGGUGUGAGAGUGGGUGCAAAAGUUUUAUUUUUGAUAAACUUUUAUUUUUAAUAUUAAACUCUUAAUCACACCUCGGUGUAUUUUAAUAAAAGUUUAAUAUUAAAAAUAAAAGUUUAAUAUUAAGGGUUUAUCAAUUUCGAUUAAGAGUUUUUGUAUUUUGUAGGCAUUUAAAUUAAUUUUUAUUUUUUGUUUUUAGCCCAAUAUUUGUAAGAGACUAUGACCCAAUUUUUACACAUUCUUGAAGCGCAAUUUUUACAAGCUCAUCAAGACCACUCCUCUUUCUUCAUACAAGCUAAAACCCUACAUUCAUCUUCCUCAUAAGACAAGCACACAACAAUGGAGAUGGAUACAACAAAAAACCCUAGUCUCCAUUAAACUCCAAGCAUCCACCACUAGUACCGCCGGCUAACACCACAUGCUAACCAUCUCCAAAACCCUAUCAAAUACACUCCAAAACAACCCCAAAUCUCCAUGAAAGUUACCUCAAACCCAGCAUGAAACAAACCCGAAGCAGCCUAUGAACCAGAUGUAAAACACCUCUAACCAGUCACAGAACUCCAAAGAACUCGAGAGAUUUGUUUAGGUUUACCGUUUGAGGUAUCGUCCGAGGUUCCCCGUGAAAGCUCCAAUGAGAGCACUUGUUCGAGGUUUCUGUUCAAUUUUUCGGUCCAAGUCUGGUCGUCGGUUUCCGAUUUUGCUUUCGAGCAAUUGUUUGAGUCUACUAGACAACUCGAUUUGGAUCUAAUUUUCAGAAGAAUUUUGGAUUUACCUUAAGGUCCAUUUCUUACUUCCUCUAUCUCAUUUUUAUUUUCUGUUUGUGUAAUCAUAUGUUUUAUUUGAUGAUUUGACAAUUUUGUUUUAUCUCUGUUAGUUCGAGCUCCAUGGAAUGAAUGCUUAAAUGAGUGCCUUUUGCAUUUUGGACUUUACUAUUGAUGCCUUUUGCUAGUACUUGAAUUACAGAUUCUAAAAAAAUUAGGAAAUUAAAAUUUGAGAAGGAGUAAGGUUUGUUACUAUUGAUGCCUUUUGCUAGUGUUUGAAUUACAGAUUCUAAAAAAAUUAGGAAAUUAAAAUUUGAGAAGGAGUAAGGUUUGUUAAAUUGAUGUGGAGUUAUUUUAGAAGAUGUGAUUUUGAUCGGGAAUGUGGUCUUGGGAAUUUAAAGGGAAACUGAAUUAAAAUUUGAGUAUCAUAUAUUCACAAUUCUGUUUUAUAGCCUUGACCGCUAGGAGCACAUUUAGGCCAUCAACACUUGGGUAGGCAAUCUUAGAAUUUUUCAUUAGUUUUUGGUUUUGGGGUGAGAGGUCGUCCCUUAGAUAAAUUCAUCCGGGGAAUUUCCCGUCGACUGUGUAAAUACUUCAACCCGGGAAUGCCCCGAAGUACUUUGUAAAUAUUUUGGAGGGUGUGAUGUGUUGGUAAGGGAAGCAUAGUGUAGUACUUUAUUCUUAUUUUUCUUUUAUUAGGUGGGGACGACCUCAAGCCCUUUUGUGUGUUUAUUUUUCUGUGUUUGUUUUACCUCAACUUGAAUAUUUUAGAAGCCAACUUGAUCGAGUACGCAACUGUGACCUUCACGGGACUUGGGGAGUGCAUAACACCUUCUCCCCACGUCAAAUGAACCCCCUUACCCGAAUCUCUGGUGCGGACUUAGUUUUGAGUCCAAGUGUUUAAAAGAAAAAUAUUUUUUUUUAAAACGGUGACCUGGCACACCGAAAUUAAAUGUUAGGUGGCGACUCUGAGUUAAUCCAUUUGAAACACAAUUUUUGUCACCUUUCAAUUGAAAACCUUUUUCAAAAUUUUAUUAAAUCUUUUUAUUAAUUUAAGAGGGUUUAGUGAGAGUUUGGUAUAAAAAAGGGGUGUGACAUCUCUGGCGACUCCGCUAGGGAGUUGUGGGUUUGAGCUAGUACUUGAUUUUGUUGGCUUUUAGGAUUUUUCGGGUGAGGUUUCUAUGUGUUUUGUUUGUUUUAUUUGAUUUUUGUUUUGUUUAUGUCUUUUUAUUAUUUGCUAGCUG
rnacentral:lncRNA from 1 species